GGUACUCGCAUCCACGUAAAUAUGGACAAGGAUCUAGAUCCUGUCGUGCGUGUGCGAACAGGCAUGGAUUGAUUAGAAAAUAUGGAUUAAACAUUUGUCGGCAGUGCUUCAGGGAAUAUGCUGCCGAUAUUGGCUUCAAAAAGCUGGAUUAACUGCUGGAUGAAAUAGCUAUAACUAAUUGGAUAACAUGUAUAUUCUUCUUCAUUAAUAUAUGAGAUACAAUAAAAUUAAUUUUUUUUACUAAA